UGGGACCUGGGACCCCUUUCCAGACUAUUUUGGGUAAAAGAGACGUCAGCCUGAAUAGGGCUAGGUUUGGUAGAUUAAAAAUGGUUGUUUAUGAAUUCAACAAUACUGAUAUUUUUAGGAGGGAUUAUUGUACGGUGUAUGGAAAACAGGUCACUGGAUUGCCUUAAAAUUUAGGGAUUCACCCAGCUGGGAUUGGAUUGGAUUAGGAACCAUAGUUCCUGAACUACAAACCUGGCAACAUACUUGCGUUACUUUAAAUAUGCAAACAGGAAAUAUUCAGCUUUAUGAAAAUGGUGUCAAAUCUUUCGAUGGUACGUGGGAUCGGUUGGUAGUGUUUGGCAAGAAUAUGAGCAGGAACAAGAUUUAUUGA